CCUACGGGGGGCUGCAGUCGAGAAUCAUUCACAAUGGGGGAAACCCUGAUGGUGCGACGCCGCGUGGGGGAAUGAAGGUCUUCGGAUUGUAAACCCCUGUCAUGUGGGAGCAAAUUAAAAAGAUAGUACCACAAGAGGAAGAGACGGCUAACUCUGUGCCAGCAGCCGCGGUAAUACAGAGGUCUCAAGCGUUGUUCGGAAGCACUGGGCGUAAAGCGUGUGUAGGCUGUUUCGUAAGUCGUGUGUGAAAGGCGCGGGCUCAACCCGCGGACGGCACAUGAUACUGCGAGACUAGAGUAAGGGAGGGGGAACCGGAAUUCUCGGUGUAGCAGUGAAAUGCGUAGAUAUCGAGAGGAACACUCGUGGCGAAGGCGGGUUCCUGGACAUUAACUGACGCUGAGGCACGAAGGCCAGGGGAGCGAAAGGGAUUAGAUACCCCUGUAGUC
rnacentral:rRNA from 1 species